rnacentral:rRNA from 1 species
CGGGGGGGGCAAGCGUUGUUCGGAAUUACUGGGCGUAAAGGGCUCGUAGGUGGCCAACUAAGUCAGACGUGAAAUCCCCAGGCUCAACCUGGGAACUGCGUCUGAUACUGGAUGGCUUGAAUUCGGGAGAGGGAUGCAGAAUUCCAGGUGUAGCGGUGAAAUGCGUAGAUAUCUGGAGGAAUACCGGUGGCGAAGGCGGCAUCCUGGACCGAGAUUGACACUGAGGAGCGAAAGCCAGGGGAGCAAACGGGAUUAGAUACCCCGGUAGUCCUGGCCCUAAACGAUGAAUGCUUGGUGUGACGGGUAUCGAUCCCUGUCGUGCCGAAGCUAACGCAUUAAGCAUUCCGCCUGGGGAGUACGGGUCGCAAGGCUG